AUACGUAGGGGGCGAGCGUUGUCCGGAAUGAUUGGGCGUAAAGGGCGCGUAGGCGGCCCGGUAAGUCUGGAGUGAAAGUCCUGUUUUUAAGAUGGGAAUUGCUUUGGAUACUGUCGGGCUUGAGUGCAGGAGAGGUAAGUGGAAUUCCCAGUGUAGCGGUGAAAUGCGUAGAGAUUGGGAGGAACACCAGUGGCGAAGGCGACUUACUGGACUGUAACUGACGCUGAGGCGCGAAAGUGUGGGGAGCAAACAGGAUUAGAUACCCUGGUAGUCCACACUGUAAACGAUGAAUGCUAGGUGUAGGGUGUAUCGACCCCUUCUGUGCCGCAGUCAACACAAUAAGCAUUCCGCCUGGGGAGUACGGCCGCAAGGUUGAAACUCAAAGGAAUUGACGGGG
rnacentral:rRNA from 1 species